CGGCGUCCCUCUCGUGUCAUUGCGCCACACACACCGCAUUUUCUUCUCUAUGGUGUUGCACCCACAUAUGACCACCUUCGUGUCUUCGGCUGCCUAUGCUUCCCGAACCAAUAUGCCACCAUGGAUCACAAACUCGCUCCCCGCUCGUCCCGCUGCGUCUUCCUUGGCUAUGCACUUGAGCACAAGGGUUACCGGUGUUUCGACCUCGACUCACGCCGCGUCAUCGUCUCUCGCCAUGUUAUAUUCGAUGAAAUAAUUUUUCCAUACAGCUGCCGCACGCCGGACCACACCACGGGCACAUCCAUAGAAAAUCCCCAUGCAAACAUCCAG
rnacentral:rRNA from 1 species